ensembl:lncRNA
AAACCCCCUUGCAUAAGCUCUGAGAAAACCCAGGGCUCACACAAUACAGCAUCACACAAACAGAGCUGGUCAAGAGCAUACCAGUCUUUGUUUUUUGCUGGCUAAGAGAUUCUAGAAAUUAUAGUCUAAAAGACUAACAUUCCAGGUUCCACUUGUUCAGAACAUUACGCCAGUCUUUGUUUUUUAAAACAACCACAUGCCAGCAUCCUCCAACCAGUGGUCAUGCUGGCUAAGAGAGUCUAGAAAUUAUAGUCUAAAAGACUAAUAUUCCAGGUUCCACUUGUUCAGAACAUUACAUGUUCUUUGUUGAGAUCAUAGAAGCAAACCUUGAAGUCCCAUGAGAUGCAACCACUGCAUGAGUCUACGUAUGAGAGCAGGAUGCUCCAGGAAGGAUCAACAUAUGUGACAUGGUUACUUAACUGUUGGACCUUGGGAACUGUCAACCACAUUACCAAUGAUUGGGCCAGUAUCAACAGGUUACUCCUUUGGGAAAAAAGGCAACUGACGACAAAAGCUGUCAGAACAGAGACUUGUGACUCAUGUUGCCCUUCUGCACUGUCGUCCAAUGUAAAAUGUGAUCUUGUUACACAACCGCCGUGGGCCGUCCGGCGAGAAAAGUGGGAUACAAACAAGCAAGCAAGCAAGCAAGCAAGCAAGCAAACAAACAAACAAACAAACAAACA